GGGCCUGUUGCGACGGAUACUUUCCGCAGGCUCCGGGAUAACGGCACCCAGUGGGCGGGCACUCAAGCAGAAGGGGCGGGGCCUAUUGAGGGGACCAGCGAGAGCCGUAGACCCAGGGAGAUCAACGCAGAAACAACGAGAACUAAGCAGAGAGGGUGACUAGAGGAUCAUCUACCCUGACGAGGAGCAAUGGAGGUGAGGAUGCGCGGAGAGAAGGACACCACUGAGACACAAGAGGGCGCCCGUCGCCCUGAAUCCAGCCUGGAAUUGUUCCAUGGUUUCCCUUAGCCUUUGUCUGAUUAAAGCCUGGCAAUUUACAGAGGAGGAAAACUAAGGCCCCACGAGGCCAAGUACCCC
rnacentral:lncRNA from 1 species